UACGUAGGGACCAAGCGUUGUUCGGAUUUACUGGGCGUAAAGGGCGCGUAGGCGGCGUGUUAAGUCACUUGUGAAAUCUCUAAGCUUAACUUAGAACGGUCAAGUGAUACUGAUGUGCUAGAGUGCAGAAGGGGCAACCGGAAUUCUUGGUGUAGCGGUGAAAUGCGUAGAUAUUGGGAGGAACACCAGUGGCGAAGGCGGCUCACUGGACCGGAACUGACGCUGAUGCGCGAAAGCGUGGGGAGCAAACGGG
rnacentral:rRNA from 1 species